rnacentral:rRNA from 1 species
ACGUAGGUGGCAAGCGUUGUCCGGAAUUAUUGGGCGUAAAGCGUGCGCAGGCGGUUAUGCAAGACAGAUGUGAAAUCCCCGGGCUUAACCUGGGAACUGCAUUUGUGACUGCAUAGCUGGAGUACGGUAGAGGGGGAUGGAAUUCCGCGUGUAGCAGUGAAAUGCGUAGAUAUGCGGAGGAACACCGAUGGCGAAGGCAGUCCCCUGGACCUGUACUGACGCUCAUGCACGAAAGCGUGGGGAACAAACAGGA